rnacentral:tRNA from 2 species
GCGGGUGUAGCUCAGGGGUAGAGCGCAACCUUGCCAAGGUUGAUGUCGGGCGUUCGAAUCGCCUCACCCGCUCCA